rnacentral:lncRNA from 1 species
GGGCUCAGAUGGUGACAUCUAGCCCAGCCCUCCUCAUUCAGUGACCUGACCCUGUGACCUAAUAGGUCAGGAAUGAAGAGCUGUCAUCUUCUGAUAACAGUCAGGUCCCACCCACCAAGAGCUCAGAGCGCUCUCCUGGCCCUCACAGGCUUCUGACCUCUUUCCCCAGCACUCUUUAAUCAUCAUUACUCCAGGCAUCUGAUUACUCAUCAGUUUCUCCAUUCUUUCACCGAUAGAAAAUUUCUUCCAUUCCUUUUGGGUGAGACCAGCCUUUGAACAGAUUGUAUUGUAGUCUUUGGUAUUCUGUGAUAGCAGCUUGACCAGAUUCACGUGGACAGUAUUCCAAGGAGAAGGUACAGCAAGCGUCAGAGCCCAAGGAUGUGGAAGGAGCAGGCAAAAAUCCCUGGAAUGUCCUGGAUUACCACGGACUGAUGUUGCUGUCCAAGAGAGAGAAGAGAAUUUGAAAUUUAGGUUGAAGAACAGCAAGAUCCAUUCUGCACACGAAGAGAAAGAAGCGUUGAAUUAUAUUAAGAAAAAAAAAGAAGAAGAAAUGAAGAGAGCUUUUCCCUCCAAUUUGUUCAGAGAAAGGGGAAGUGGAAGGAAAUGGAACUGUGACCAGGCUGCAGAGCACGGCCCUAACCAGGCGAGGCUAGGGACAUUAACAGGACAUGCCCAGAAGAAGCUUUCUCACCACGAAGAGGGACUUAGAUGCUAUCCUGGGGUGCCAGAGAGGCAUAGUAACUGGGAAGGGGUACAAUUGAGAUCCUUCUAUCACCAUCAAUCUGCCACUUAAAUGGCCGUUUUGGAUACAUCACAGGUCAAAAGAAACUUAGGCCACCAACCACAGGCAGACUAGGUAAAGGGCAUUGUCACCUUUCCAUCACUGUGACAAAAUAAACAACUUACAAG